rnacentral:rRNA from 1 species
UGACAAGAAGUUAGCUGUCUCUAAGAUAAAUCUUUAAUUUUACUUUUAAGUGAAAAGGCUUAAAUGCGGUAGAGGGGCGAUAAGACCCUAUAAAACUUUACAGGUUUCUAGCAAUUAUCGAAUUUUUGUGUAAAUUUGUUUUUAGUGUUACUGUUUUGUUGGGGCGACAGAAAUAUAAUUAAUUAACUGUUUCUAGUUUAAAAAUAGUUCUAAUUAGUUAAGUUGAUCCUUUAAUAGAGAUUAAAAGAUUAAGUUACUUUAGGGAUAACAGCGUAAUUUCUCUUGAGAGUUCUAAUCGACAGAGUUAGUUGCGAC